rnacentral:rRNA from 1 species
UACGUAGGGGGCUAGCGUUGUCCGGAAUCAUUGGGCGUAAAGCGCGUGUAGGCGGUUCGGUAAGUCCGCUGUGAAAGUCGGGGGCUCAACCCUCGAAAGCCGGUGGAUACUGUCGGACUAGAGUACGGAAGAGGCGAGUGGAAUUCCUGGUGUAGCGGUGAAAUGCGCAGAUAUCAAGGAGGAACACCGGUGGCGAAGGCGGGUCUCUGGGCCGAUACUGACGUGAGGAGCGAAAGCGUGGGGAGCGAACAGG